CCUCCGCUCUCCACCCCUGCGCCGCCGCCCGCCCUCCUCUCUCCACCCCGGCGCCGCCGCCCGCCCUCCUCUCUCCACCCCGGCGCCGCCGCCCCCUGUGCCCGAGGGAUCCCAUCGGCGUCCACGGCAUCCCACCGGAGGGGGGGCCCGAUUCCGGCGGCAGCUAGGCCAUCCACGGCGCCGCCACCUCCAUCCUCCACGCCCAUCCCCUCCGCCGCCGCCCCACCUGCGCGCCGGCCGGCCCGCCCUCCGCCCUCCACCCCGAUGCCGCCCGGCCCGCCCUCCAUUCCGUGCCCGACGCAGCUCCCCCGCCCCGGGCCCCGGACGAGCUGCUGCGCGAGGAGGUCCGGCGCGCCCCCGUCGCGCGCCGCCGCGUCGCGAGGAGCUGCCGCACCGCCGUCACGAGGAGAUCCCACGCCCUCGACCCCUCGGCGCCGCCACUCUUGCUCGCGCCUGCAGUUUGUGAACCUGCAGUACAAGAAGCUGUGGUGGGAGGCUGGCAGGCGCUUCGUCAAGCUGCGCUCCACCAAGGCCCUCAAGACCAUCGAGAAGCACGGCCUCGACGCCGUAGCGCGCAAGGCCGGCAGCGACCUCAACAAGAGCUUGGUGCUUGGGAGAAUAAAAGAGAUCACAAAUCAUCAGCAAGAACAAGGUACACUUGAUCCAUAUUUACAUAGCUAAUUAAUUGCAUUAUAACUUGUUUCUUACAUUCAUUAUCACUCACAACAUGUUGCAAGUACAUGCUAAAUCAAGUAAGAGAAAUUGGAAAGAAGAGAGCUGGAAAAUUGGCACCAACAAGGGAUAAUGGGACGAUUGGGACGAUUCAAUUCUCGUCGUCGAAAACAUGUCAACAAGGAUGUUGAGCCAAUGUUGUGGUUUGUAAUCAGUGUAUGAACUUAUGGUUUGUAAACAGUGUAUGAACAUGUGACACUUUUGUGACAAUGAAUUCUUUCUAUGUGUUUACUUCGUGAGAUUUAUGUACUUAUGAUGAGAAUUGUAUCAA